rnacentral:rRNA from 1 species
AUUGAACGCUGGCGGAAUGCUUUACACAUGCAAGUCGAACGGUAGAGGGGGCAACCCCUCGAGAGUGGCGAACGGGUGAGUAAUAUAUCGGAACGUGCCCAGUCGCGGGGGAUAACGUAGCGAAAGUUACGCUAAUACCGCAUACGAUCUAAGGAUGAAAGCGGGGGAUAGCAAGACCUCGCGCGAUUGGAGCGGCCGAUAUCAGAUUAGGUAGUUGGUGGGGUAAAGGCUCACCAAGCCAACGAUCUGUAGCUGGUCUGAGAGGACGACCAGCCACACUGGAACUGAGACACGGUCCAGACUCCUACGGGAGGCAGCAGUGGGGAAUUUUGGACAAUGGACGCAAGUCUGAUCCAGCCAUUCCGCGUGCAGGAUGAAGGCCCUCGGGUUGUAAACUGCCUUUGUACGGAACGAAAAGGUCUCUCUUAAUACGGGGGACUCAUGACGGUACCGUAAGAAUAAGCACCGGCUAACUACGCGCCAGCCGCCGCAGUAA